GCCAGGUAAGUCCAGGCCAGUCACGGCAAGUCAAGGCAAGGCAAUGCAAGAGAAGUCCAGGCAAGGCCAGGCAAAACCAGGCAAGGCCGGGCUUGGAAGGCAAGACCAGGCAAGUCCAGGCCAGUGCCAGCUAGGCAAGGCAAGGCCCGGAAAGGCAAAUCCAGGCAAGGCCAGGCAAGGCAAGUUAAGGCCAGGCCAGGCAAGGCAAGACCAGGCCCGUGCAGAAAAGGCAACGCUUGGCAAGGCAAGGCUAGUAAAGGCAAUGCAAAGCAAGGCAAGUCCAGGCCAGUCACAGCUAGGUAAGGCAAGGCAAGGCAAGGCAAGUCCAGGCAAGGCCAGGCAAGGCUUGGCAUUACAAGGCAAGUCAAGGCAAGGUCAGGCAGGGCAAGGCAAGGCAAGUUAAGGCCAGGCUAGGCAAGGCAAGGCAAGUCCAGGCAAGGCCAGGCAAGUCCAGGCAAGUCCAAUCAUAGCCAGGCAGGGAAAGGCAAAGCAAGUAAAGGCCAGCCAGCGCAAAACAAGGCCAGGCCCGGCCAGAGAAGGCAACGCUUGGGAAGGCAAGGCCAGGCAAGGCAAGGCAAAGCAAGGCAAGUCCAGGCAAGUCCAGACCAAGUAGGGCAAGGCAAGGCAAGGCAAGGCACAACCAAGCAAAUCAAGGUAUUGCAAGGCAAGUCCAGGCAAGGCCCGGAAAGGCAAGGCAAGGC
ensembl:lncRNA